GCAGGCAUGGUACCCCCGCCGCGCUUCCCGGGCUCGGCCGAGCUCGGCCCCGCACCCCGGGCUGUGCCGGCUCAGGAAGCCUCGAGCGCACCGGAGCGGCUCUGCGGCAGAGCCGGCUGGUACCGCAGCGACAGGGGUCAAAAACUGAAGCAAAGCGGCCCCAAAUGCACCUGUGCAAGAAAAACGACAGACAAAAGAAACGGCCGGCCAGCACCGGUUACACAGCCGAUCCCCGGGGCAAAAGGACCUGCCCCGCGCUCCGCUCGCCGCCCUUUAUGUGGCGGAGGAAGGGCGGGGGCGCGCACCGGUGCCUAAUUGGAGCGGGGCCCUGCGCCUGAGCCUCCUGGGAGACCCCCCGGGGUCGGCGGGAGGGUUACGGGGCAGGACUUCUGCCACCAGUGAGGGAGCAGAAGUAUGAAGAAAAAGGAUUGCAAAAGCCAUGAGACAAUCUUCAGCACUUUUACUGACUGCAGAGUCAUCAGCCGAAACUGCACAACUGAAGUGCGAGGAACCUUGAUCACAUUAAAACUUUGCAGAACACAGGUAAAA